AGAGUUUGAUCAUGGCUCAGAUUGAACGCUGGCGGAAUGCUUUACACAUGCAAGUCGAGCGGCAGCGCGGGGCAACCUGGCGGCGAGCGGCGAACGGGUGAGUAACAUAUCGGAACGUAUCCAUAAGUGGGGGACAACCUAGCGAAAGUUAGGCUAAUACCGCAUACGCUCGAGAGAGGAAAGUGGGGGAUCGCAAGACCUCACGCUUUAGGAGCGGCCGAUAUCAGAUUAGCUAGAUGGUGAGGUAAAGGCUUACCAUGGCGACGAUCUGUAGCUGGUCUGAGAGGAUGAUCAGCCACACUGGGACUGAGACACGGCCCAGACUCCUACGGGAGGCAGCAGUGGGGAAUUUUGGACAAUGGGGGCAACCCUGAUCCAGCCAUUCCGCGUGAGUGAAGAAGGCCUUCGGGUUGUAAAGCUCUUUUGUUCGGGACGAAACGGUUAAGGCUAAUAACCUUGACUACUGACGGUACCGGAAGAAUAAGCACCGGCUAACUACGUGCCAGCAGCCGCGGUAAUACGUAGGGUGCGAGCGUUAAUNNNANNUACUGGGCGUAAAGCGUGCGCAGGCGGUUUUAUAAGCCAGAUGUGAAAGCCCCGGGCUCAACCUGGGAAUGGCAUUUGGGACUGUAAGGCUGGAGUAUGGCAGAGGAGACUAGAAUUCCUGGUAGCAGUGAAAUGCGUAGAUAUCAGGAGGAAUACCGAUGGCGAAGGCAGGUCUCUGGGCCAAUACUGACGCUCAUGCACGAAAGCGUGGGGAGCAAACAGGAUUAGAUACCCUAGUAGUCC
rnacentral:rRNA from 1 species